rnacentral:rRNA from 1 species
UACGAAGGGGGCUAGCGUUGUUCGGAUUUACUGGGCGUAAAGCGCACGUAGGCGGAUCGUUAAGUCGGGGGUGAAAUCCCUCGGCUCAACCGGGGAACUGCGUCUGAUACUGGGUGGCUUGAAUUCGGGAGAGGGAUGCGGAAUUCCAGGUGUAGCGGUGAAAUGCGUAGAUAUCGUAAGGAAGGCCAGUGGCGAAAGCGAGACUCUGGCUAGAUGCUGACGCUGAGACGCGAAAGCGUGGGGAGCAAACAGG